rnacentral:lncRNA from 1 species
AUAAAUGCUAGUACAGAAAUUUGUCACAACCCAAAGUCAAUGGGUCAUAAUGACACUUAUCGCGGCGAACCUUGACAAGUAAGCCUAUUACAUAAAUCGAUACACGAAGGGUAAAAAGAUAAAAAUAACCCCAAGGUAAGAGUUUUAGAAUAAAGCUGAAUCAUACAAGUUUAAUUAAUGUGGAAAUAAACAUCACAAUGUAGUCAUAACUCCUAAAAUCAGGUGUCAACAAUAUAUGAACGUAUCUAUCACAACUCAAAUCCAAGGAAAUACAUAAAAUAUCCAAAUAAAAGAGAUAUGUUGUCUCUAAAAUAAAAGUACACACAUAUUCUAUAAAUAAAGGUAGCAGAAGACAUCCGGACGCCUAAAAGUCAUCAACUACCUUGAAAGAUCCAACAAUCACCUGAGUCAAGCAUUGUGGGGUGCACCCAUACUUGAAUCUGCACCAGAAGGGUAUAGUAGGAGUGAGUACGGUCCUUUUGUACUCAGUAGGUAUCAUAGGCCGACCGAGCAAUGUAGAAAAUAAAGCAUACAAAAUACAUACAAAGGGUAUGCCACCUGUAAUUAGAAAACACCCCACAAUGGUAGCCCACACCGCUUGCACUAAUAGUUCUAAUAUAUCACAAUUACAACAACAAUGCAGUAUGUAGAACACAAGUAUACAUUAUAUCACAUGCAAGUAGAAACAGAAAAGAACAUGUAUAUACAAGAUGGUCAAGUAUAAAUAACAGGAUAUAGAGUAAGUAGACAUACAACAAGUCAACAUGGCAAUUCAAUUACAACAUCAAUCACAAUAAAGUAAAUGCAAUGUAUAAGAUGAUAAUGCUAAUGAUGAUGCACGAGGUUGACACACAGACUUGAGGUUGACACAUAGUCAUCGAUUCUUCUCUAGCGUAGUCCUAUGGAGAAGGUCCAUAAUAUCCAAUAUCUAAUACCAAAAUGCAGUAUUUUCAAG